AUGCUGUAGUUGUUGCUUCCUAGUAUGAAGUUGAAAUCUUUGUCUGAAGCAGAGUGACACGUUGUCAUUCACUGUUUCUCUUCAUAGACUGCAGUUCCAAGUUUCUCUGGAUACAAACAGGAAGUAUUUCUCAGGUACAACAACAGAGUGUCAGUGCUGGAUGUGAGGAUGGGACACACUUUUCUGUGUGUGCUGUUGUUGACCUUGUUGGAUACACUCCUCUACUGUGGACAUGCUCAAGAUGCUGUGCUGACUACUGACCCCUACUGGUCACCUUUGUUCACUGGAGAGUCUGUUACCUUCAUAUGUGACAUGAAGGAAGGAAGAGUCACAGACUGGAAUUAUAAAAUCAACAAGGAUGGUCGAGAAUUUACUCCCUACAACACACAUCAACGCUAAACAUUAAAUCCUCUGUCUCCAGGUCACAGUGGUGAAUAUCAGUGCUGUGGUUACAACAAGAGAUCAACUCAGACAAAGUGUAGUAAAACUGUCACUUUAACUGUAUCUGAUAAACCCAGGGCCACACUGACAUCAGGACCAACAACCAUACCAGUAGGAGGCAGAGUGACACUGACCUGCUCUGUGGAGCCCUCUGCUGGAUGGAAAUAUGAGUGGUUCAGACGUAGCACAGACACCUCCGAAGUUCAAGUUAUAACAAAUGAUGGAGAAAACAGAGUUAUCAGUAUAUCACAAGGAGGAAUCUACCGGUGCAGAGGAGGAAGAGGAGGAAGAAGAGAACCAGUUUA